GACGAACGCUGGCGGCGUGCUUAACACAUGCAAGUCGAGCGGUAAGGCCCUUUCGGGGGUACACGAGCGGCGAACGGGUGAGUAACACGUGGGUGACCUGCCCUCAGCUCUGGGAUAAGCCCGGGAAACUGGGUCUAAUACUGGAUAUUACUCUGCGGUGCAUGCCGUGGGGUGGAAAGCCUUGUGCGGCUGGGGAUGGGCCCGCGGCCUAUCAGCUUGUUGGUGGGGUGAUGGCCACCAAGGCGACGACGGGUAGCCGGCCUGAGAGGGCGACCGGCCACACUGGGACUGAGACACGGCCCAGACUCCUACGGGAGGGCAGCAGUGGGGAAUCUCGCGCAAUGGGCGAAAGCCUGACGCAGCGACGCCGCGUGAGGGAUGACGGCCU
rnacentral:rRNA from 1 species